GCUGGGAGUGUAGCGGCUCCUGUAAUCCAGCGAUUGGAGGCUAGUUAUGGCGGAGGGUCUGAGGCGAGGGGUCACUGCUGGUGCGGGCUCCACGUUGACUGGGCGUCCGCACUAAGCUCGCCAUCAAUAUGGGCACCCCGGAGGAGUCCGGGGUGGCCAGGUUAGCUAAGGAGAGGCGAACCGGGCCAGAGGGGAAACCCAGCAGCCAAAAGUCUCCGUGGCGGGCAGUAGUGGGAUCGCGCCCGGGAGUGGGACCGCACUGGCAGCCUGGUCAAAAUGACUCGACCCAUAACUUU
rfam:Nasonia vitripennis chromosome 2, whole genome shotgun sequence.